rnacentral:rRNA from 1 species
UGCCAGCCGCCGCGGUAAUACGGAGGGCGCGAGCGUUAAUCGGAAUUACUGGGCGUAAAGGGCGCGUAGGCGGUUCGAUAAGUCUGAUGUGAAAGCCCGGGGCUCAACCCCGGAAGUGCAUUGGAAACUGGCGAACUUGAGUACGGGAGAGGAAAGUGGAAUUCCGAGUGUAGGGGUGAAAUCCGUAGAUAUUCGGAGGAACACCAGUGGCGAAGGCGGCUAACUGGCUCGGUACUGACGCUGAGAUGCGAAAGCGUGGGGAGCAAACAGGAUUAGAUA